GGGUCAGUAGGUUGGUCGUGCCACCGGUACGUACUGGUCUCACUGAUUCCUCCUUCCUGAAGAACCGUAAUGCCAUUAUUUGGGUGUUGCGGGGAAACAGGACUGUUACUUUGAAAAAAUUAGAGUGUUUAAAGCAAGCUAACGCUUGAAUACAUUAGCAUGGAAUAAUGAAAUAGGACGUUCGAUCCUAUUUUGUUGGUUUCUAGGAUUGACGUA
rnacentral:rRNA from 1 species